ensembl:lncRNA
GCAGAAUAUAGCUCUAAGCUCCGGGGGGUCACCUCACUCUCUGGAGACUCCUCCAGGAGGGGAGGAGAGUGCUAGGGACCCAGGUGACUACACUGCAGGGUGCUACAGGCCACAGCAGAAGUGGUGGGGACACAGAGCUGGGCUUGGUCAGGUGCCCCAGGACCUGAGCAGGACAGGUGCCCCAGGUAGGCUAGACAAGCAGCACUGAGUCUAAGGACAAACAGGGAGGGUGUCCAGGCAGAGGAAACACUGUGAGUCCAGUGUGCAAAAAAGAACUGCACUCAGGUUCAGGAAACGUCAGGGAGUCUAAUAAGUUGGAACACAGAAAGCAAAGGGCAAGCUGUGUCCUGUGAGCCUGAACAUAUGGGCAAGGCCAUAGGUAGUUCUCUGGAAUUUAAAUUUUCCUCUCAGAGCUUGGAGGCAGAGGCAUGGCACAGUCAGAUUCAGGCUACAAGAGACUAUCUAAAAUAAUUAAAUAAAAUUUAAAAUGCAGUGCCCCAGUAGCACUCACACAUAUUAAGUGCCCAAAAGCCACCUGUGGCUGGUGGCUACUGUAUUGGUCAGUACAAAUCUCGAACAUUUCCAUUAUGCCAGAACAUUCUCUUGGACAGCACUGUUCUAUUACAGUUUCCAUGGAAAUAUGAAUGGAUUAGAUAUAGGGAGGGAGUGAAAAGAAGCAAACUACCCAGCCUGGGACCUACACAGAAAGUUGGAUAGAAUCAGAUUGGAGAGUUAUGUCAGGGUAAAGGGGACAGACAGGGUUUGGGAACCAUCAGACCUGAGAGUCAUGGAAGAGGAAGGAUCUGAAGAAGUCAAGAAUCAUGGCCAGUUUUCUGAUAAGGUUGUCUGGAGGAGGCAUUGCCAGGGGCAGCAGUCACUCAGAAAGAGAAAAAGAGAAGCAGCAGCAGGUCUCGGAGAAAAGGUGGAAACUGUCUUUGGUCACCUGAGUAAACCUACAGGAGUCACUCUUGCUAGAAGCAACCUGGGGGCGNNNNNNNNNNNNNNNNNNNNNNNNGGGGGGGGGGGGGGGUGCGCACACAGAUGGAUGUGUGGACAGUGGGCACUGGCAGCAACAGGCUGUCACUUGGAUUGUGGAUGCCACUGGGCACCCAGCUGGGUGACCUGGUGGGCCCCUCAGGAAGGAGGCCUGGGCUGGUCCCCACCUCGUCCCCACCUCAUCCCCAGUGCAUUGGACGGGGCACAAGAAUGUUGUUCUCCAAAGCCACUGGGACACUUCCUGUCAGUCCACGUAAUUGAGUAUUACAGUAUUUAAAUUACAAAUUGAAGAUUAUUUUUACAGGUGUCAUUUUAAAUAUAACACGAAAUUUCUUGACAUUACAUCAGCCCCACCACACAAACAGCUGCUCCAGCCGCCUGCAUGUGUGAGGCACAUGGCUGAAACUGGCAAUGGUGUGUGUGUGUGUGUGUGUGUGUGUGGGUGUGAGUCAUCGAGUGGGCUGUAUGUGAAAUGGGUGUGAGUCCAUAUGACUGUGAUCGAGAUUGUAUCCGCGUGUGUGGUUAUGAACGUGCACAUAUAAAUGUAUAUAGUUUGUGCAUUAUGAACGUGAGUGAUGGUGAACAUGUGGGUCCGUGUUUCCGUGUGAAUGAGGGUGUGGGGUAUGCCUCUGUGUGUGUGUGUGUGAGUGAGAGAGAGAGAGAGAGAGAGAGCACAGGAAGGGGGGGCACACUGCCGGAUGCUCCAGCCCCACAGGUGACAACCCUAAGGGCGGCCAGAGCCUGGCCGAACUCUGUCUCCCUCUAGAGCGACCGCGGCCUCGGGCAGAGGGGCUGUGGAAGCUGCCCACGGCGGUGCUGCAGUGCCCUCCAGUGGACAGAGCCCCCACCCCAACCCCCCGACAGACCCACAGCAGAUGGAACACGGCUUGUGCCCUUGCUGAGCCUGGUCAGCUCACGCCAGGCCCCAGGUCCUCGCCACCCACUCCUGAGUGGGGCAGGAAGAGCCUAUCCUGAGGCCCCCUUAGCUCCCCACGGCAAGGACUCAGUGGGGAUUUAGCCGUAGCUCAAAUUCUCCUUCUGGGGCACUCCAAACUCCCCCUGCUAGAUCUUGCAUGGCCCGAACACAUCCCACUUCUUUUUGCCAUGGAGCAUCCCCCACCUCAAGGAUGCUCUUACCAGGUGGGCCUCUUCCAGCAAGUUUCCCCUGAGCCCCCAGGUGAGCAAGAGAAGCGCCAUCCCCAGGGUCCUUCCUCAAAGCACAAGGACUAUCUCAGGGGCUCCGGUGGCCGUCAGUCCCCUGCAGGAGCCCCAAAGGACAAAGCUGUUCCUGCUCCGCUCACUGGGCACAGCAUGGGCAAGGCAAGAGAAGAGACGCUCUACGAAGUAGAAACUGUUCAUUUGCUCUUUCAAGUAAGGAAAGGCAGGAGUGUGCAGAGAGACAGAACAGGGAGGAGCAGGACCUGUUUUCAUUUCGUCCAGUCGCACUCUGUGUGCCUGUGUACACAGGCAGGGCUGUGCUUGAGCCUUGAGGGUACAACUUAAACAUAGCAGCUGUUCUAGGAAGCUAUUUCCAGGGAGAAAAUGAGGGAAAGCUCAGGGAGAGACUGAAGCCUAACAAAAGAAAAAUUCUCUUAUUAAAAAUGUUAUUCGUGGCACUGGCAAGCCCCCACCAGGCCGCCUGGCUGCAGAAGUGCAGCAAGAAGCACCGUCCAGCCAGCUGUAUGGGGGCCGGCCCUGCCUCCGCCAGGUCCCCCAGACCGGAGGGAGCUGUCAUCGAGAUGCGCCCAGGGAUGGGACAUUACAGAGGAAAGCACAGGCAGCCGACCACAGGGAGCAGGAGAACCAAGGACAGCCAUCCAUGCAUUGACCUCCUUCUCCAAACCGCUAGCUACACUCGCACCAGGACUGAGCUCAGUGCCCCUCUGGACUCACUCCUCACAGGUUAAGGGGCCAGAUCCAAUCUGCAAGUAUCUGUAGCCACCUGAAGCACCUGACCACCUGAACAAACCACCCCAUGAAGGCCCGGUCCAUUCAGGGGCCCAGACUGCUCCCUGCCCUGCCCUCUUCUCCGAGGCUCGGCUGGCACUACUCCAUACCAACAUCCCAAGCUCACUCGAAAGAAGAGAGGGAAGCCAAAAAGCAUCUCUGCCACGUGGAACAGAAAAGAGAGAGGGCGAAGGAGCUGGCUGCCCUCACAAUGUGCCAAAUCCACAACAUGGGACUCAGUGUGUGAGCCAAAGAGCUCCGAAGAAGGCUUCUCUUGGCUGUGUCUAAAGUGGGUGUGGAUGGUCAGCCCUGAGCCAGGUGACCAUCCUCUCCCUGUGGGCCUGAGAGGUCCCUUUUCAGGCAUUGGCCUACCCACAUCUGGCCCCAGCAGCUCAGAGCCAGGGACUCUGCAGCACAAAGCUCCCCUGCUCUCUUAUCCCUCCCAUUACAGGGCAGCAGAGCUAAAGGCAGAGCUGCAGGGUGGGGAGGGAGACUCAGAGGUUCCCAAUGCACAGGAAUGGGUACACAAACAUGAAGAAAGAAUCUGUCAGAACAGGAGCAAUCUGGUGGCUACCACCUGCUUGGAGUUCCAGUCCUCCGCUAUUUUCCAGGUAGCUUCUUCCAAGUCCGUGACCUUUUCUCUAUCACUUCUGAUUCAAAUCCUUUCCACUCCUCUAUGUCGCUGUCCCUUGUCUCCAUCCAUGGAGAAAUGCAAGACAAUCUUUCCAUGCUGAAAAUACAUCAUAGACGGUCCCAAUCUGGGUCUCAACCUUGAUGGUGGCCCACUUGCAAAGCUCUGAUUCCUCACCAGGCCCUUCUCAAUUUGCUUCUCACUGCUUUGAGGAGCUUCAACUUUCAAAGAGUUAUAAAUGUGGCUGAUGGCCUUUCUCCAGCAAUGAUGGCUAUGGGAAAGGAGGCUAGAGCCACAGGGAACCUGAUGGCCUUACUCCAGCAAUGAUGGCUGUGGGAAAUGAGGCUAGAGCCACAGGGAACCGCAUUCACAUCCUAAGAAGACCAAAGUCACCAUCGCCACCACUACCAUCAUCAUCACAUCUAAUGCUUAUCAAAUACUUGCAUAUGCCAAACUCUGUGCUGAGCACCUUAACAGAUUAUCUCAUUUAACUUUUACAAGAAACCUACUAGGGGGUCUGACUGUCUGUCUGAGGAGCAGCAGAUGAGGGGUCAAGGUUGUGCCAUGGCUCCUGGGCACGCAGCCUUGCCCACUCCAAUCUCCAUCCGAAUGUCUCCAUGAGCCUGACCCACAUGUUUCAAACAGUGGGAAGCAACUCAUUAGUGGACUCAUGAAAUAAAUAAAGGGGGUCAAAAUCA